GAGUUUGAUCGUGGCUCAGAUUGAACGCUGGCGGCAUGCCUUACACAUGCAAGUCGAACGGCAGCACGGAGCUUGCUCCUGGUGGCGAGUGGCGAACGGGUGAGUAAUGCAUCGGAACGUAUCCUGGAGUGGGGGAUAACGUAGCGAAAGUUACGCUAAUACCGCAUAUUCUGUGAGCAGGAAAGCGGGGGACCUUCGGGCCUCGCGCUCUUGGAGCGGCCGAUGUCGGAUUAGCUAGUUGUGAGGUAAAGGCUCACCAAGGCGACGAUCCGUAGCAGGUCUGAGAGGAUGAUCUGCCACACUGGAACUGAGACACGGUCCAGACUCCUACGGAGGCAGCAGUGGGAAUUUUGGACAAUGGGGGCAACCCUGAUCCAGCCAUGCCGCGUGAGUGAA
rnacentral:rRNA from 1 species